rnacentral:rRNA from 1 species
GCUUGUCUCAAAGAUUAAGCCAUGCAUAUCUAAGAAUAACUAACAUUAUCUUGAAUCUGUGAAUGGCUCAUUAUAUCAGUUAUAGUUUACAUGAUAGUCAAUACUACUUGGAUAACCGUAGUAAUUCUAGAGCUAAUACAUGCGAAAAGUCCUGACUUCUUCGUGAGGGAGGGAUGUAUUUAUUAGAUACAAUCAAACGCACCAACAUAAAACCUUGGUGAUUCAUAAUAACUGUUCGGAUCGUAUGGCUUUUUGCCGACGACAGAUCAUUCAAAUUUCUGCCCUAUCAGCUUUCGACGGUACUGUAGUGGACUACCGUGGCAUUAACGGGUGACGGAGAAUUAGGGUUCGAUUCCGGAGAGGGAGCCUGAGAAAUGGCUACCACAUCCAAGGAAGGCAGCAGG